AUGGUUUUUAUUAAUCAGGUAUCCAUUCACCAUCGUAAGCUGACAAACAGAGAAUGGAAGUGUAUCGAGGAUCGGUUUGAGAAGAAACUGAGUUGCUGGAAGGGCAAACUCAUGUCAUAUGGAGGCCGAUUGAUUCUGAUUAAUUCGGUGCUCACGAGUAUGCCAAUGUUUCUCUUAUCUUUUUUCGAAGUCCUAGUUGGUGUUAGGAAAAGGUUGGACUUCUAUCGAUCCCGAUUCUUCUGGCAAAGUGAUGAACUAAAGAGAAAAUACAGACUUGCCAAAUGGGAUAUCAUAUGUCGACCAAAGGACUAG
rnacentral:rRNA from 1 species